GCUGAGCACUGCGGCGUGUGCUUGUAAUCACAGCUACUCAGGAGGUUGAGGCAGGAGGAUCACUUGAGCCCAGGAAUUCUAAGUCAUCCUGGGCCAAGUAGCAAGACCUCGUCUUAA
rnacentral:sRNA from 1 species